CACCACCAUCGCCAUCAUCAUCAUCAUCAGGGACGCGCACCCCAGAGUAGGGAAACCGCAAGGCCUAUAGAACAACGGCCAGUUUCCGCCAGGCCGCCAUCACAGACCCACGAGUCCCCUGAAGCCCUCCAGAAGAAGACCCAGCAACUUCAUCUGGUCACUCACAGAGGCAAGAGUUGAGUGCUGUGUAGAAGUUUGAAGUGGAGCUUGGCAAGGUCUCACCGCUGCCUCUGCCAAGAAGGUCAACGUGAGACUAUCGGCGAUCAAGGCACAUCUCUUCACUAAUUUUGCCGUGCCGAGGGCCGGGCAGCCUGAGUGGCCGGGACCAGCAGGAGCAGACUGCCCCUGGUGUGAGGAUCAGGGGUGAUCAGGAGAACCACCACCACCUUGCUGCUGGCAUCUCCAGACAUAAAGGAAAGGGAACGUUUGAGUGUGAGAAGAUUGGAGACUGAGAGCAAGUUCACCAGACACAGCCUUGCACUCACUGCUGAAGGAAACCAUGA